rnacentral:lncRNA from 1 species
UAGGAGUUAAUGGACCUAAGUGGAAAACAACCAUUUAAAACUGCUGCAAUACAAACACUAAUAACUCCAACUCAAUAUUUUGGAUCAACUUUGACAUGACAGAUAUAAAAUAAUGCCUGAGCCUCCCACUUGUACAAUAACUUGUCUCUCUCUCCCCCCCUCCCUCCCUCUCUCUCUCUCCCUCUCUCUCUCUCUCCUGUCUCUCCCCCCCUCUCCCUCCCUCCCCCCCUCUCUCUCUCUCCCUCUCACUCUCUCUCUCCCUGUCUCUCCCUCCCUCCCCCCCUCUCUCUCUCUCUCCUGUCUCUCCCACCCUCUCUCUUCCUCUCCCUCCCUCUCUCUCCUCUCUCCCUCUUUCCCCCCCUCUCUCCCUCCCUGUCUCUCCCUCCCUCUCUCUCUCUCUCCACCCUCUCUCCUCUCUCCUGUCUCUCCCUCCCUUUCUCUCUCUCCCUCUCCCUCUCUCUCUCCCUCCCUCCCCCCCUCUCUCCCUCCCGCUCUCUCUCUCUCUUUCCCCCCUCUCUCUCCCUCUCUCGUCCCUCCCUCUCUCUCCUCUCUCUCCCUCCUCUCCCUCCCCCCUCUCUCCCUCUCUCCUCUCUCUCUCCUCUCUCCCUCCCUCUCUCUCUCCCCCCUCUCUCUCCCUCCUCCCUCUCCUCUCCUCUCUCUCCUCUCUCCCUCCCUCUCCUCCCUCCCUCCCUUUCUCCUCUCUCUCUCCCUCCCUCUCUCUCCCUCCCUGUCUCUCCCCCUCCCUCCCUCUCUCUCCCCUCUCUCUCCUCUCUCCUCCCUCUCUCUCUCUCCCUCUCACUCUCUCUCUCCUCUCCCUCUCUCCCUCUCGCUCUCUCUCUCUCCCUCCCUUCCUCUCUCCUCUCUCCUGUCUCUCCCCCCCUCUCUCUCUCUCCCUCUCGCUCUCUCCCUCUCUCUCUCUCCCUCCCUCCCUCUCUCCUCUCUCCCUCUCUCCUGUCUCUCCCUCCCUCCGUCUCUCUGCUGUCUCUCCCUCCCUCUCUCUCUCCUCUCUCUCCCUUCCUCCCCCCCCUCCUCCCCCCCUCUCUAUCUUUCCCUCCCUCUCUAUCUCUCUCUCCCUCCUCUCUCUCUCCCCCCUCGCUCUCUCCCUCCCUCCCUCUCCCCCCUCUCUCUCCCUCUCGCUCUCUCUCUCCUCUCCCUCUCUCUCCCUCUCGCUCUCUCUCUCCUCUCCCUCUCUAUCUCUCCCUCCCUCUCUCUCCCUCUCUCCUGUCUCUUCCUCCCUCUCUUCCUCCCUCCCUCUCUCCCCCCUCUCUCCCUCCCUCUCUCUCUCCUGUCUCUCCACCCUAUCUCUCUCCUCCCUCCCCCUCUCUCUCCCUCUCUAUCUCUCCCCUCCCUCUCUCUCCUCUCUCCCUCCCUCUCUCUCUCCCCCCUCGCUCUCUCCCUCCCUCUCUCUCCCUCUCCCUCCCUUUCUCUCUCCCUUCCUUUCUCUCUCUCCCCCCUCUCUCUCCUCUCCCUCCCUCUCUCUCUCUCUCUCCUGUCUCUCCCACCCUCUCUCUCCCUCUUGCUCUCUCCUCUCUCCCCCCCCCUCUCUCUCCCUCCCUCUCUCUCCUCUCUCUCUCUCCUCUCUCCCUCCCUCUCUCUCCUCUCUCCCCCCCUCUCUCUCCCUCCCUCUCUCCCUCUCACUCUCUCUCUCCUCUCCCUCUCUCCUGUCUCUCCCUCCUUCUCUCUCCUCUCUCCCUCUUGCUCUCCCCCCUCCCUCUCUCUCCCUCUCCCCCCCUCUCUCUCUCUCCCUCUCUCUCUCCCUCCCUCCCUCCCUUUCUCUCUCUCUCUCCUCUCCCUCUCUCUCCUCCCUCCCUCUCUCUCUCCCUCUCUCCCUUCCUUUCUCUCUCUCCCCCCUCUCUCCCUCUCUCCUCUCCCUCCCUCUCUCUUCCUCACUCUCUCUCCCUCUCUCCCCCCCUCUCUCCCUCCCUUUCUCUCCCUCCCUUUCUCUCUCUCUAAAUUAAGUUUCAUUAAUUUAAUUUAAUAUUAGCAAUAUGCAGAGAGAAGACAGCAUGAAACUGCCACAUCAUUACAGAGCUUCAGCAAUAUUAAGCAAUGCUUAUAUUCUCAGUUCAGUGUUAAAAUGAAUGAGCCCUGCUCCAUUUAGCACCUGAUUACCAUAAGCCACAGUACUUUUCCAUUAGCAGGCUAGCAGCCACAGGCUGCAGCCACGCCUGUCUGUACAAACCAGCACGGCACAGUUUGUAAAACACACCAUAACCUCCAAAAAGCAGCCAGCACCAUGAGAAGAGCUUUAAGAGACAUUUGUUCCAGAACAUUCCACCAACAGAGCUCAGCACAUUUGAAACAGCAGCACAUGUUAAACAGGCCAACCAUUAGACUCACAGCAGAGCAGGUUAUUGGACAAAUACACACAGCACAUCCACAUUAUCUCCACACUGCACAAUAACACCAAUGUAUGACACGUUUUUAAACAUGUAGCAACAUUAUCAGCAUGAAUAUGUUAAGCUAGGAAGCUAACAACAAGCAGGAGGAGCAAACCGCGUCUUACCUCUCGUAAGCUGAUGAAGGAGGGUCUGACCGUCAAUCGCGCUACACGGUUUUUAUAUCAGGUCCAAGGGUCCAAUCAGAUGUCCCCUUCAGUGACCGUGCACCUGGCUGUCAUAGGACGGACUGUCUGUCAGUCAGUCAAAUGUCAGCCAUGUUGGUCAGUUUGUAACUGGUAUCUUUAUUGGUUAAGAAAAGGCCGGUCAUUAUUCAAAAUAAUAAGUGUAC